GAUGAAGAACGCAGCGAAAUGCGAUAAGUAAUGUGAAUUGCAGAAUUCAGUGAAUCAUCGAAUCUUUGAACGCACAUUGCGCCCGCCAGUAUUCUGGCGGGCAUGCCUGUUCGAGCGUCAUUUCAACCAUCAAGCCCCCGGCUUGUGUUGGGGACCUGCGGCUGCCACAGGCCCUGAAAUGCAGUGGCGGGCUCGCUGUCACUCCGAGCGUAGUAGUUACAUCUCGCUCUGGGCGUGCUGCGGGUUCCGGCCGUUAAAAGCCUUAUUUACCCAAGGUUGACCUCAGAUCAGGUAGGAAGACCCGCUGAACUUAAGCAUAUCAAUAAGCGGAGGA
rnacentral:misc_RNA from 1 species